rnacentral:rRNA from 1 species
UACGGAGGAUCCGAGCGUUAUCCGGAUUUAUUGGGUUUAAAGGGUGCGCAGGCGGGGGAUUAAGUCGGCGGUGAAAUUUUGCAGCUCAACUGUAAAAGUGCCUUCGAAACUGGUUUCCUUGAGUGUAGAUGAAGUAGGCGGAAUUUGUGGUGUAGCGGUGAAAUGCAUAGAUAUCACGAGGAACCCCGAUUGCGCAGGCAGCUUACUAAACUACUACUGACGCUCAGGCACGAAGGCGCGGGGAUCAAACAGGAUUAGAUACCCCCGUAGUCCCUGA